rnacentral:rRNA from 1 species
UAAGGAAUAUUGCUCAAUGGGAGAAAUCCUGAAGCAGCAACGCCGCGUGGAGGAUGAAGGGUCUAUGACUUGUAAACUCCUGUAAAGAAGGAAAAAAUUCCCAUUUGAUGGGAGAUGAUGGUACUUCUGGAGUAAGCCCCGGCUAACUACGUGCCAGCAGCCGCGGUAAUACGUAGGGGGCAAGCGUUGUCCGGAUUUACUGGGUGUAAAGGGUGCUCAGGCGGAUUUGUAAGUCAGAGGUGAAAUCUUACAGCUUAACUGUGAAGCUGGCUUUGAUGCUGCAAGCCUAGAGUAUGGAAGAGAGUUAUGGAAUAUCUGGUGUAGAAGUGAAAUGCGUAGAUAUCAGAUAGAACACCAAUGGCGAAGGCAGUCACUUGGUCCAUUACUGACGCUAAAGAACGAAAGAGUGGGUAGCAAACA